rnacentral:lncRNA from 1 species
AAGGGUAUGCCUUUUUCUGUGUAUGGGAAUGCAAUGAUUCCUCCAGUAGCACCUAUCCCUGAUGGUGCUGGAGGACCCAUAUUUAAUGGCCCUCAUGCUGCAGACCCUUCUUGGAACUCACUGAUAAAGAUGGUUUCCAGCUCCACGGAAAAUAAUGGCCCUCAAACGGUGUGGACUGGACCCUGGGCACCUCACAUGAACAGUGUGCAUAUGAACCAGCUUGGCUGAUGAGGAUCAGCUUGUUAGCCUGCAGAUUCCUUUUCAUUUGGAGGAAAUCACAAGUGGCCGAAAAAAAAAAAAUUAUGCUCCCAAAUCAUUCUACUGAUGUGCUUGACUGAAGUGUGUAGGCUUUUUGCAGAAGAUCUUACUAACUGACCUAUUUUCUGUGAACAUUUGUGACUGCCCAUUCCCCAUCAUCAUCUGUUUUACCUUAGUUAGCAUUUUUCUUAUCAUUUUUCUUUUUUUCUUUCCCUCUUCCCCUUUGGACAUAACUUUCUGUUGAAGCUGUUCUUUGGCUGGUUGGUUUUAGUACUGUAAACUGCUUCUGAGCAAACACGGAAAUUUAGCAAAAUUAUGUAAACUUGAUCCUGAAGUUUUAGAAUGGCAAAUAAAUGUACAAUUGUUUACAUAACAGAAAAGGCUAAGCAGAAAGUAAAUUUCAAUAUGUCAGUAUAGAGGCUCUACUUUAUGUAGACUUAAAUUAAUGUGAGAUAUGUACCUUCAUAUUCAGAAAUCUGGAUGUUUCCUUCAUACAUUAAACUAUUAAUAAGCAUAACUUUUCUACUGGUGUAAUUUAAGUAUAAAGUAAAAUAAUGGGCAUUAUCAUUGGAUGUUUCCCCACAUUGGCUUUUAAAAUACCCAUCUUGCUUUCUUUUUGGUUUAUUUGUAGCAAGGCACAUAUAGAAGAAGAAAUUUCUGGCUUUUCCAUGUUGUUUUAUUACCUUUUCUCACUUUU